GGGUUUACCAAACAAACUGGUGCUCAGUUUUUGGUUUACAACAAAAAAGAAAUAAUUACCUUCUUUAGGGGCCAACUGUCCAGACGAUUCUGUGUCCCAGCCCCAGAUGGUCUGUGGUGGAAGCACUCGAGACCCAUGUGCUGGGGAGGAGAGUCGCUCUUUCAGGUGAUUGGGAGGGAGCAGAAGAGCCUGGGAGAGGCUGGGGAGGCCAAGCAGACUUGAAGAGAAAGGAAAAGGAAAAACUGAGGAAGAAGAGAUGGAGACAUAGGCAAUCUUGAGGGGAAAAGAGCCCUGUGUGUUAACCCUCCUCCGCACAAUGAAACUCUGUACAGUGAAUUGGCUAAGUGGGUCCUUAUUCAGGAUCAUUCAUCACCAUGGCACGGCCUCAUGCAUACAUGGCAGAUUUACAUCAGUGAAACUGAGGAAUAAAAACAAAAGGCCCAUGAUCUGAAGGAAGGGCUGUCAUUAUUUAUGAAGCGCCAGUAAUGUGCUGAGGGUGAGAUGAAGAUCUGAUCAGCCUGGCCUCUUGGCUCACCCUGCAAGGGUGCUGGUGGCAGAGUGACACACAGCUGGUGGCUGCAGCAAGGACAACACGCUCAGCAACUCAGGGCUCCUUAAAGGCAUUCUGCACACUAGACGCUCCACUUCAAAAAUCGGGGCACAUGUAUGGGAAGUAAGUCUAAUGCUAACGAAAAUAGAUUUGGGACACUAGCCCGAUGCUAUCAGUGGACUGAUUGUGUGCAUGCUGAUGUGCAACACGAUGACUGAAGAGACGGUGCUGACAAUUCAGCUGCAGUACAUCUCAGAGAGUCACUGCUCUAGAGAGGUCUCUUCUGUUGCUAUUUCGCUUGGAUUCUUCCGUCACAGAAAAAUGUGCUGGGUAAAGUGGUGGCCAGGUUAAUUUUCAUCUGCCACCAGGUCAGCCCCUGACUGCAGUUGCUUAUGAACCAUCUGCCAGGCGACCCUCGCUCAGAAGUGAACCAUCCUCACCUUCAGUCAGUUCCACGCCUGGAGCCAUACCAGCGCCUGGGGGACAUGAGGUGAGAGCCACCACCAGCUGCAAACAGGAGGUGAGUGCCUCCCAAAGGACUUUGACAACUUUUCUAAAACAGCCUGUCAUGCUUCAAACCUGCUUAUUUCCGAACCUAAAGAAACACAAUGCAGAGGAGAUCUCAUCAGGCACGUGAUGGGCUCCUGGUCCCCAGACAGGGCUGCUUCUCUGUCAGGGACAGGUCCAAAGGUUUCAGCGGGCCAAAGCUUCCAGCAGGGUUGAACGUGGUGCUUGGAGUGCCAGCCAGGGAAAGUUCACACUCAAACCUGGUGUCACGUAUUUGAAACAAAAUUUGUCACUCAGGUUUGGAGGAGGGAGAGGAUUCCUGGUUAUUGCCCAUGCUGCAUUUUUUUUCUUGACUGAGAAUGAAAAUCAGUAU